rnacentral:ribozyme from 1 species
UUUACUUGAUGCCCUGUAACGGGAUGGGAUGUGAAGCAUCCUGAAGCUUCCAUCCAACUUCUGUUCGGGCACGUCUACGACGUGCAGGGUGGUAACAUGGGCCCAAGUCCAGCCAUACAGCUGGAUGAAGGGUCAUUGCUAAGAAGGAGGGA